CCUACGGGAGGCAGCAGUGGGGAAUAUUGGACAAUGGGCGAAAGCCUGAUCCAGCAAUGCCGCGUGAGUGAUGAAGGCCUUAGGGUUGUAAAGCUCUUUUACCAGGGAUGAUAAUGACAGUACCUGGAGAAUAAGCUCCGGCUAACUCCGUGCCAGCAGCCGCGGUAAUACGGAGGGAGCUAGCGUUGUUCGGAAUUACUGGGCGUAAAGCGUGCGUAGGCGGUGAUUCAAGUCAGAGGUGAAAGCCUGGAGCUCAACUCCAGAACGGCCUUUGAAACUAGAUCGCUAGAAUUAUGGAGAGGUAAGUGGAAUUCCGAGUGUAGAGGUGAAAUUCGUAGAUAUUCGGAAGAACACCAGUGGCGAAGGCGACUUACUGGACAUAUAUUGACGCUGAGGUACGAAAGCGUGGGGAGCAAACAGGAUUAGAUACCCUGGUAGUCCACGCCGUAAACGAUGAUAACUAGCUGUUCGGGCUCUCAGAGCUUGAGUGGCGCAGCUAACGCAUUAAGUUAUCCGCCUGGGGAGUACGGUCGCAAGAUUAAAACUCAAAGGAAUUGACGG
rnacentral:rRNA from 1 species